rnacentral:rRNA from 1 species
AAAUUGAAGAGUUUGAUCAUGGCUCAGAUUGAACGCUGGCGGCAGGCCUAACACAUGCAAGUCGAGCGGAAACGAGUUACCUGAACCUUAGGGGAACGAUAACGGCGUCGAGCGGCGGACGGGUGAGUAAUGCCUAGGAAAUUGCCCUGAUGUGGGGGAUAACCAUUGGAAACGAUGGCUAAUACCGCAUGAUGCCUACGGGCCAAAGAGGGGGACCUUCGGGCCUCUCGCGUCAGGAUAUGCCUAGGUGGGAUUAGCUAGUUGGUGAGGUAAGGGCUCACCAAGGCGACGAUCCCUAGCUGGUCUGAGAGGAUGAUCAGCCACACUGGAACUGAGACACGGUCCAGACUCCUACGGGAGGCAGCAGUGGGGAAUAUUGCACAAUGGGCGCAAGCCUGAUGCAGCCAUGCCGCGUGUGUGAAGAAGGCCUUCGGGUUGUAAAGCACUUUCAGUCGUGAGGAAGGUGGUAGUGUUAAUAGCACUAU